GCCGAAGAGGGGAAAGGUUC
rnacentral:snRNA from 1 species